UCGGGAAUUUUGGGCAAUGGGCGAAAGCCUGACCCAGCAACGCCGCGUGAGGGAUGAAGUAUUUCGGUAUGUAAACCUCGAAAGAAUGGGAAGAAUAAAUGACGGUACCAUUUAUAAGCUCCGGCUAACUACGUGCCAGCAGCCGCGGUAAUACGUAGGGAGCAAGCGUUGUUCGGAUUUACUGGGCGUAAAGGGUGCGCAGGCGGUCUUGCAAGUCAGAUGUGAAAGCCCCGGGCUUAACCUGGGAAUUGCGUUUGAAACUACAAGGCUAGAGUGCAGCAGAGGGGAGUGGAAUUCCAUGUGUAGCAGUGAAAUGCGUAGAGAUGUGGAAGAACACCGGUGGCGAAGGCGGCAUCCUGGACCGGCAUUGACGCUGAGGCGCGAAAGCCA
rnacentral:rRNA from 1 species